rnacentral:rRNA from 1 species
UUACUGAGUUACCGCUCUAUAACCCUUUGUGAACAUACCUAACCGUUGCUUCGGCGGGCAGGGGAAGCCUCUCGCGGGCCUCCCCUCCCGGCGCCGGCCCCCACCACGGGGACGGGGCGCCCGCCGGAGGAAACCAAACUCUAUUUACACGACGUCUCUUCUGAGUGGCACAAGCAAAUAAUUAAAACUUUUAACAACGGAUCUCUUGGUUCUGGCAUCGAUGAAGAACGCAGCGAAAUGCGAUAAGUAAUGUGAAUUGCAGAAUUCAGUGAAUCAUCGAAUCUUUGAACGCACAUUGCGCUCGCCAGCAUUCUGGCGAGCAUGCCUGUUCGAGCGUCAUUUCAACCCUCAAGCACCGCUUGGUUUUGGGGCCCCACGGCACACGUGGGCCCUUAAAGGUAGUGGCGGACCCUCCCGGAGCCUCCUUUGCGUAGUAACUAACGUCUCGCACUGGGAUCCGGAGGGACUCUUGCCGUAAAACCCCCAAAUUCUUUACAGGUUGACCUCGGAUCAGGUAGGAAUACCCGCUGAACUUAAGCAUAUCAAUAAGCGA